rnacentral:lncRNA from 1 species
GACCCUUAGGAGCUUUUCAUGUGGUUAAAUUAAGAUAUUCACUUGCACACAUCCACUACACCAUUCACCACCAUACAUUAAAAUUGCUAAAAAUAUUAUCACUCACUGUCCCAAGUAUUGUUAUCCUCUCUCUAAAAAGAUUCAAUGCGGAAGAGGCAUGAGUUAUGCAAAAAUAUGCGAGGAAAUAAAAAGGGGCAAGUGCCUGGAACCUCGAGAAAAGAAAGAAAAAGAGUGAGACAAGAGGUAAAAAUGGACAAGUGUCCAGAGUAGAAUUAGGGGUACAAAGCUGCCCACUUGAGCGAAAAAAAUGGACAAGUGUCCGACAGUAGAAUUAGGGGUGUCCACUACCCACCUGAAAGAAAAGAAAAGAAAAGAAAUAGAUAGCCCAUGUUCUCCGAAAGCAA